rnacentral:rRNA from 1 species
UACGUAGGGGCGAGCGUUGUCCGGAAUGAUUGGGCGUAAAGGGCGCGUAGGCGGCUUGUUAAGUCUGGAGUGGAAGUCCUCUUUUCAAGGGAGGAAUUGCUUUGGAAACUGGUCGACUUGAGUGCAGAAGAGGGGAAGUGGAAUUCCAUGUGUAGCGGUGAAAUGCGUAGAGAUAUGGAGGAACACCAGUGGCGAAGGCGGCUUCCUGGUCUGCAACUGACACUGAGGCGCGAAAGCGUGGGGAGCAAACAGGAUUAGAUACCCCCGUAGU